CCGUCUGCACCUGGAACGGCGUGACCAGGUGGACGUGGGCGUCGAUGCCGCCCGCGGUCAGGAUCAGGUGUUCACCGGAGAUCGCGUCGGUUCCCGGUCCGGUCACCAGAGCGGGAGUGACCCCGUCCAUGAUGUUCGGGUUGCCGGCCUUGCCGAUGCCGGCGAUCCUGCCGUCCUUGAUGCCGACAUCGGCUUUGAUCACGCCGAGCAGCGCGUCGAGGACGGUGACAUUGGUGAUCACCAGGUCCAGCACCCCUUCGGCGCUGGUGGCCUGACUGCUGCUGCCCAUGCCGUCG
rnacentral:sRNA from 1 species